rnacentral:rRNA from 1 species
UAUGUUCUUGAAACUUAAAGAAUUUGGCGGUAUUUUAGUCUUUUCAGAGGAAUUUGUCCCUUAAUCGAUAAUCCUCGUUUUAUCUUGCUUUAUUUUGUGUUCAGUAUGUAUACCGUCGUUAUCAGUUUAUUUUUUAAGAAUAUUUACAUAAUAAUUUAUUAAUUUUUAUUUCAGAUCAAGGUGCAGUUUAUAAUUAAGUGGAGAUGAGUUACAAUAUUUAAAAUAUAUGAAUUUAUUUUUGAAAAUGUUAAUGAAAGUGGAUUUGAUUGUAAUUUUUAUUAUAAUAUUAUUUUGAAUUUAGCUCUAAAAUAAGUACACAUCGCCCGAUCGCUCUA